UCCAAUCAGGUGUGGUAGCAUAAGUGCUACGUAAUCCCACGGAAUCUUGACAUCAUAGUAGUCAACCAGUUCCGUGGUGGAGAGGCCCAAGGAGGGGGCUCCAACACUCAGAACUCUGAAUGUAGCCUACGUCCAUUGUUCUCGUACCUUCUUCCAUCGCAGGAAGCUGCUCACCUAGAACCUCGGGACAUGGUUUUGAAUGGAUUGUUAAAUCAUUUGUUUGAUCCUUUUCCAAUUUUGAGGUCCCUGCAACCUAAGGGAUGUCUCCCUCUCCUCAUCUUCCUGAGAUAUAAACUCAAGUAUUCACUGACUGGAGAGGAGGUAGAGAAGAUAAUGUAGCAGUGCUGGGUCAGAAUCCACAGCAAGGUUCAAGCUGAUGCUGCAAGCCUUGCUGGAUUCAUGGAUAUGUGUGAGAUGGAGCAAACAUCAGCAUCAAGCCAACAGGUGAGCAUUUCUGCCUGAUCUUUGACACCAAGGGGCCAUCUUGCUGUUCACUACAUCACAGCAGAAGCCAUGUGGUGGCAGACAUGAGCUGGAGGUGGUAUACAAACUGAACACACACUGAAGAGAAUGCCCAGUACAAGCUGUGCAAGGUGAGGAGGAUGACUGUGGGUACAAAGGGAAUCCGACUCCUGAUGGCCCAUGAUGCUUGUGCCAUGUGCAACCCAGAUCCUCUCAUCAAGGUGAUCACGGGAUGGAUUACUGAUUUGGGGCCCCUAUCCAAUUUGACAUGAGGUAAUGAACCUCAGGUUUUCCUGCCCAGGGAUAAGAGCAUCUCUGACUUACAGUGGCUGCAGAGAGAUAAAGCAGUGUAGCAGCUAGAGAGACCAAGGGCUACUCUGCAGUAGGAUGAUUUUUUUUUGAAUU